GACGAACGCUGGCGGCGUGCUUAACACAUGCAAGUCGAACGAAGAGCGAUGGAAGCUUGCUUCUAUCAAUCUUAGUGGCAAACGGGUGAGUAACGCGUAAUCAACCUGCCCUUCAGAGGGGGACAACAGUUGGAAACGACUGCUAAUACCGCAUACGAUCUAAUCUCGGCAUCGAGGAUAGAUGAAAGGUGGCCUCUACAUGUAAGCUAUCACUGAAGGAGGGGAUUGCGUCUGAUUAGCUAGUUGGAGGGGUAACGGCCCACCAAGGCGAUGAUCAGUAGCCGGUCUGAGAGGAUGAACGGCCACAUUGGGACUGAGACACGGCCCAGACUCCUACGGGAGGCAGCAGUGGGGAAUCUUCCGCAAUGGACGAAAGUCUGACGGAGCAACGCCGCGUGAGUGAUGACGGCCUUCGGGUUGUAAAGCUCUGUUAAUCGGGACGAAAGGCCUUCUUGCGAAUAGUGAGAAGGAUUGACGGUACCGGAAUAGAAAGCCACGGCUAACUACGUG
rnacentral:rRNA from 1 species